CUGGGAGAAACUCCGCUAAGCAGGUGAGGAUCUGAUCCGUCCUGUGGAUGGAAACCACUUGGAACCCCAGGAUUGGCCCCCCUUAUUAAGACUGAUUGUUUCAGAUUGAAGUGGAAGACCCAAAUUAUUGACAAAUUGGCUCAUUGUGGUUUCUCUCAGGAUGAGAUGAUCAAAAUGGGAUAUGAUCGAGCCAGGAUUGAGAUCAAACAACAUAUCAUGGACAUGGAACUGCAGGAAGAAGUUGAUUCCUUGCCUAAGAAUGUCUUUUUGGGGGAUCAAAUGUUUAACAUUCAACCAGCUAGCUUUUUGAGUCUAAUUACCAUUCCUAAAUUUAGACGUGCUUUGACGCUCGCCUGUCUAAAUGCACUUCCAUCUGCUGUUAUGGAGGGAAGAUUUAAAGGUACCCCUUUCUCUACUCGACUUUGCCCUUGCGGGUCUGGUCAAGUGGAGACAAGUGCGCAUGCCAUUUUAUAAUGUCAUUUCUAUAGGGACGCCCGCUUAAGAUUAGUGUCCCCUUUGCUGCAACGUUUCCCUGGGCAUUUGGAUGACUUCUAUUUGAAGUAUUUACUGUCCAGUCUUGAUGACGACCUAAUUUGCAAAAUGGCAAGGUACUGUUAUAUCAUUUGCAACAUCCGCUUAGGUUUUCAUUAAUGUUUUGCCUUCUGUUUUCCGUGAUUCCUGUUUUAUGAUUGUAAUGGUGGGUGCUCUGCUCUCUUGGGCUUUCAGUAAGAUCUAUCUGGAGUUCACCACAACUGUCUUAAUUUUAACCUGUCAAUAUUACAAUCUGUUUGAUUUAUUAUGCUGAGUUUUUUGUAAGUAUGUAUGUUUUACUAAGUAUUGGUCUAUGACCGCAAUAAAGGAUGACUGACUGAC